rnacentral:siRNA from 1 species
GAGCGUUUCAAGGGUUACAC